CACAGGUGCUGCAUGGCUGUCGUCAGCUCGUGUCGUGAGGAUGUUGGGUUAAGUCCCGCAACGAGCGCAACCCUUAUCCCUAGUUGCCAUCAGGUAAAGCUGGGAACUCUGGGGAGACUGCCGGUGAUAAACCGGAGGAAGGCGGGGAUGACGUCAAGUCCUCAUGGCCCUUACAUCCCGGGCUACACACGUGCUACAAUGGCAGGUACAGAGGGCUGCGAAGCCGCGAGGUGGAGCGAAUCCCAGAAAACCUGUCUCAGUCCGGAUUGAAGUCUGCAACUCGACUUCAUGAAGGCGGAAUCGCUAGUAACCGCGAAUCAGCAGGUCGCGGUGAAUACGUUCCCGGGCCUU
rnacentral:rRNA from 1 species